UUAACUACCCAUAGUAUUAUAAACUCGCAUGAGUUAAUAAUUAAAGUAUUUAUCGGUAUGAGAUGAGCAUGCGUCCUAUUAGCUAGUUGGUAAGGUAACGGCUUACCAAGGCAACGAUAGGUAGGGGUUCUGAGAGGAUGGUCCCCCACACUGGAACUGAGACACGGUCCAGACUCCUACGGGAGGCAGCAGUGAGGAAUAUUGGUCAAUGGACGGAAGUCUGAACCAGCCAUGCCGCGUGCAGGAAUAAGGUCCUAUGGAUUGUAAACUGCUUUUAUUCGGGAAUAAACCUCCUUACGUGUAGGGAGCUGAAGGUACCGAAGGAAUAAGCACCGGCUAACUCCGUG
rnacentral:rRNA from 1 species